rnacentral:lncRNA from 1 species
CCCAACCGGUGAAACCCUGGGCCGCCAAAGCGGAGCGCGCAAACUUAACCACUCGCCAUGGGGCGGCCCCUUAACUUUAUUUUUUGUUUCUAUAUCAUUGUCACAUGAUUAUGGACAGUCUCUUAGUUCUCUGCCACAGAUGGCUAACUGCUUAGCAUGGGCGUGAUCUUACACGUUCACCCUCCUAGGUGAGCUCAUCUCUAAGAACCCUAGGAAAUCUCCCUGGGUCUCUGUGUACCAAUAAUACUCCCCUACUGUCUCUUUAAGGCAAACAAAAUUCUGACGACAGGGACAUGCUGUGUUCCACCAAACUGGGCAGAAUUCCGCCAAUUCUCGGGUACCUAGUCUAGUGCCUGUAUUUAGUAUGCUUUUUCACGGGGUGGCUGAAGAGCGAAAGAAGAUGUUCUACUUUCAGCUAAGGGUCCAGGUGUGGACGAGCAAACGGAGCGUUUCCGGGGGAAGGAUGUGCCUGCGCUUCCUAGUUGCCGUAGAAACGUGACGUCAUCGUAGCGACCGUGACGACUUUUUAAUAGAGACGGAGGGGCUCUGGCAAGAGCAGGUCUCACCUUCAGCUCUUCAUGCCAGUGGCCAAGCUCCUAUCAGGCGUCUGAAGGAGGCAGCUUCUGAGGAUCUGUGCCCUGCUGGCUGCUGAACCAUCUGCUCCACAUUGAAGGGCAGCCAUCCUCAGGAGACCCCAGCACUUCACAUCCCUGCUGGGAUAUGACUUCUGACUCGAUGGACCGUCAGAGGAGGGCGUGGACUCUGAGCCUCAGAAGCAGGAGCUGACAGAGAAGAACCAAGUGUGCUGGCGCGUGUGCAGACAGGUUCCUGGAGCAAGAGUGAGGAGAUCAGGGUCCCAUCACUGGGACACUUUAGGUAAGUCACUACCCUUCCACCAGUCCCGUGUAUUCAGCAGAAUGACAGUACCCACUGCAGCUGACCACCCGGGAAUCCUCUGGAGUUUGAGUGUGAUCCCAUGUGGGAAAGCAGUCUGUGCUCGUAGGUGGGAGGAAGGACCAGUGCACUUUCAAGGAAUUACAUUAACAGAGACACCCCAGAUAUCACAGAACUCUGUGUGGCAGACAUCAAAUUAAUAGCACAAAACGUCAGAUACUUAGGUCAGGAUUUCUCCAAGUGUGGUCCGUGGGCUGGGUCAGAAAAUCGUCAUGGGUGCUGGUUGAAACAGCAGAUGCACGGCCCACCCUAGGUCUCCUGCAUCCAGAACGGGGAGGUGGGGUGGGAGGUGUCUGCAUGUUGAACAAUUUCUCCUGUUGGAUGCGGUAUGCGUCCCAAGUUUGAAGAGCACUGCUCUGCAUUUGCAACAAGGUUCUUAAAAUGUUGCAUCCUUUGAUGUCUAAUUUUGGUGUCAGUUUCUCCUGCAACUCAGAUUGAAAUAGCUGUGUCUGCUCCCAGUGGGUCAAAAAGGGGACAAUUCUUUAUUCUCAGCAAUACUUCCUCAGUGUUUUCUGUAUGAGGGACUGCAUUCAUCUUCCAAGGCUGCCAUAGCAAAGUCCCGCAAGCUGGACGGCUUCACAAUAGACACGUCUUGUCUCACAGUUCUGGAGGCUGGAAGUGGAUAAUCAAGGUGGUGCCGGGCCGUGCUCCCUCUGAAAGCUGUCGCAGAAUCUCUCUGUGCUUCUUCCUGCCUUCUGUUGGUUGCUGACAGGCUUUGCGUUUCUUGGCUUGCAGCUGUGUGACUCCAUUCUCCGCCUUUGUGGUCACAUGGUGUUACCCCUGUUGUUCUGUUUUCACAUGGCUGUCUGCUCAUAAGGACUCCAGUCCCCUUGGUUCAGGGGCCCACCCUACUCCAGGAUGACCUCAUCGUAACUGAUUACAUCUGCUGCAAUCAUAGUUCCAAGUAGGGUGACGUCCUGAGGUGCUGGGGGUUAAGACCAAUUUAUCUGUUUUUGGGUGACACAAUUCACCCCAUAACAGGCACUGAACUAGUUGAUAGGCAUGCAACACAGUGACCAAGACCCGGCAGUGUCCCUGGAGCUUUAUUCUAGCUCGGGAAAACUGUCAGUAAGCAGGGAAACAAGUCGGUAUGGCGAGGCAGUUCCAUGUGGGGGUAAGUCCUUUAAAGAAAAUAAUCAAAUCCAUUGAGUAGAAAAUAACAGGACGGGUUAUCAUAGAUGGGUUGUCAGGGACGCUCUUGCUCAGGAAGUGACAGUGGACUGAGUUCAGAACGACUAAUAUACUCAGUAGCAACAUACCUCAAAUGUCACUGGUUGUGAAUAAAUAUCAGUCUAUAUCGUACUUUUUCA